rnacentral:rRNA from 1 species
UGCCUACGGGGCGCAGCAGUGGGGAAUAUUGGGCAAUGGGCGCAAGCCUGACCCAGCAACGCCGCGUGAAGGAAGAAGGGUUUCGGCUCGUAAACUUCUAUCAACAGGGACGAAAGAAAUGACGGUACCUGAAUAAGAAGCCCCGGCUAACUACGUGCCAGCAGCCGCGGUAAUACGUAGGGGGCAAGCGUUAUCCGGAAUUACUGGGUGUAAAGGGUGAGUAGGCGGCAUGGUAAGCCAGAUGUGAAAGCCUUGGGCUUAACCCGAGGAUUGCAUUUGUAACUAUCAAGCUAGAGAACAGGAGG